rnacentral:rRNA from 1 species
GCGGACGGGUGAGUAAUGCCUAGGAAAUUGCCUUGAUGUGGGGGAUAACCAUUGGAAACGAUGGCUAAUACCGCAUAAUGCCUACGGGCCAAAGAGGGGGACCUUCGGGCCUCUCGCGUCAAGAUAUGCCUAGGUGGGAUUAGCUAGUUGGUGAGGUAAUGGCUCACCAAGGCGACGAUCCCUAGCUGGUCUGAGAGGAUGAUCAGCCACACUGGAACUGAGACACGGUCCAGACUCCUACGGGAGGCAGCAGUGGGGAAUAUUGCACAAUGGGCGAAAGCCUGAUGCAGCCAUGCCGCGUGUAUGAAGAAGGCCUUCGGGUUGUAAAGUACUUUCAGUUGUGAGGAAGGGGGUGUCGUUAAUAGCGGCAUCUCUUGACGUUAGCAACAGAAGAAGCACCGGCUAACUCCGUGCCAGCAGCCGCGGUAAUACGGAGGGUGCGAGCGUUAAUCGGAAUUACUGGGCGUAAAGCGCAUGCAGGUGGUUCAUUAAGUCAGAUG